GGUGUGGCUCAACGGUAGAGCAGCUGACUUGUAAUCAGCACCUGACUUUUAAUCAGGGUGUCCCGCGUUCGAGUCGCGGAUAGAUCACCA
rnacentral:tRNA from 1 species